AUGAACGCUGGCGGCGUGCCUAAUACCUGCAAGUCGAGCGAACGGACGAGAAGCUUGCUUCUCUGAUGUUAGCGGCGGACGGGUGAGUAACACGUGGAUAACCUACCUAUAAGUCUGGGAUAACUUCGGUAAACCGGAGCUAAUACCGGAUAAUAUUUUGAACCGCAUGGUUCAAAAGUGAAAGACGGUCUUGCUGUCACUUAUAGAUGGAUCCGCGCUGCAUUAGCUAGUUGGUAAGGUAACGGCUUACCAAGGCAACGAUGCAUAGCCGACCUGAGAGGGUGAUCGGCCACACUGGAACUGAGACACGGUCCAGACUCCUACGGGAGGCAGCAGUAGGGAAUCUUCCGCAAUGGGCGAAAGCCUGACGGAGCAACGCCGCGUGAGUGAUGAAGGUCUUCGGAUCGUAAAACUCUGUUAUUAGGGAAGAACAUAUGUGUAAGUAACUGUGCACAUCUUGACGGUACCUAAUCAGAAAGCCACGGCUAACUACGUG
rnacentral:rRNA from 1 species